rnacentral:rRNA from 1 species
ACGAACGCUGGCGGCGUGCUUCACACAUGCAAGUCGAACGGAAAGGCCUAGCUUGCUGGGUACUCGAGUGGCGAACGGGUGAGUAACACGUGGGUGAUCUGCCCCUGACUUUGGGAUAAGCCUGGGAAACUGGGUCUAAUACCGGAUAUUCAUUUUUCCUCGCAUGGGGAUUUGUGGAAAGCUUUUGCGGUUGGGGAUGGGCCCGCGGCCUAUCAGCUUGUUGGUGGGGUAAUGGCCUACCAAGGCGACGACGGGUAGCCGACCUGAGAGGGUGAUCGGCCACACUGGGACUGAGACACGGCCCAGACUCCUACGGGAGGCAGCAGUGGGGAAUAUUGCACAAUGGGCGCAAGCCUGAUGCAGCGACGCCGCGUGAGGGAUGACGGCCUUCGGGUUGUAAACCUCUUUCAGCUCCGACGAAGCGCAAGUGGCGGUAGGAGCAGAAGAAGCACCGGCCAACUACGUG